rnacentral:rRNA from 1 species
GAGUUUGAUCUUGGCUCAGAUUGAACGCUGGCGGCAUGCCUUACACAUGCAAGUCGAACGGCAGCACGGGAGCUUGCUCCUGGUGGCGAGUGGCGAACGGGUGAGUAAUGCAUCGGAACGUAUCCUGGAGUGGGGGAUAACGUAGCGAAAGUUACGCUAAUACCGCAUAUUCUGUGAGCAGGAAAGCGGGGGACCUUCGGGCCUCGCGCUCUUGGAGCGGCCGAUGUCGGAUUAGCUAGUUGGUGAGGUAAAGGCUCACCAAGGCGACGAUCCGUAGCAGGCCUGAGAGGAUGAUCUGCCACACUGGAACUGAGACACGGUCCAGACUCCUACGGGAGGCAGCAGUGGGGAAUUUGGGACAAUGGGGGCAACCCUGAUCCAGCCAUGCCGCGUGAGUGAAGAAGGCCUCGG